AAAGUGGCAAGAACUGGAUUCUUGCCGUAAUUACUGGCGUCAAACCACCGUCCCUGCUCCAGUCACUUCCAAUUGACCACCGCACCAAAUUACGGGAAGCUGCAGGUGUGUAGCCCUUGAACAGUUGAACUAGCUAGCAGCGGGGUGUUCGACAAGGUCUUCACACGCACCCGUUUGCCACGGCUCCGGCUUCAGCUCCUAUAGCGAAGCCAUUGCAAGAGCAGAGGUAUCCAUACUUAGGUCACACAAAAAUUAAAAAAAGGAUAAAAGUUAAAUUUUUAUCAUAUUUAUACUGUUAUUUCACAAAAUCUUACACUCAUAAAAUAAUUACGCACUCUUCACAUAUUUCCUCUAACUAUAUGUGUGGCUAAAUAGUGUGUGCAGUGUGCCAAAACGGCUCCCCUGAGAAAGCACAGAGAAGCCAGAGUUACUAAGAAGCCGAAGCGUGCGACUUCUCUCGGCAACUCUCACAAAUUUGGUGCAAACUAUAACAAAAUCGCCGCUAGAGCGUUUUAGCUUCAGCUCCACCAAAUAUCAACUAUACUUGUUAAUACCAUUAAUAUUAUUUUUUAUACAAAUUUAGUUAACUUUGAGAUAGUUUGACUUAAUACAAGUAUCGGUGUCUGGACUCGGAGUUCAGACACUAACAAGUAACAAGUCUGUGUGCCCUCCUAGACCCGAAUGGUGAUGCAAGAGAACACAGGGAAUUUAUACUGGUUCGGACCUCAAAUGCCCUACGUCCAGUGAGAGGUUCGGGUCUGUAUUGCUUUGCACCCGAAAGUGCUUGUAGUAGGGGUGUACAAGCUAGUUGCGAGAGAGGGCUAAGUCCCAGGUCUCGGCUUUGGGAAGUGUCGGUGUUUUCCCCCACGGGAGGUCACACCAACGAGUAAAUUUGUAUGCGUGCUCCCUUUCCCAGAUGGUGAUGCAAGAAGACACAAAGAUUUAUCCUGGUUCGGGCAAGAGAAGGCCCUACGUCCAGCGGGGGAGGGAAGUCUGUAUUAUCUUGCACCUAAGUGCUUGUACAGGGGUGAAUACAAGCGUGGUGUGGGGUGUGUGAGCUCUACUGCGUAUGAUGUUGCCCUGCGUUCUAUUCCUGAGUCCCUCCUUUUAUAGCUUCAAGGAGAGACCCAGGGUACAUGUAUAGGUGUCAGAGUAGGAGUCGAUAGCAGCAUGGAGCGCUGACCUACUCGAGGCUUCCGUACCGGCAUGGCCUCGAGCCGUCCCGUCUUGAUAGCCUGGUGAUGAUUACGCGUGCCCCUGCAUUCUGCUCUGCGCGCCGUCUCGUGUUGGUUCAACGGUCGCACGCUUGUACGGUAUGGCGGCAGACCCGGCGGGGUGGUUGUGGUGUUAUCAGUCGACGCCCAACUCGUCUCCAGGAUGGAACCCUGUUCGGUCGAGGGUCGGACGCCGUGUAAUGUGCCGAUAUCCGGAGCGCUGACUUGGGGUGUCUCGAGGGGGUCCCGAUUAGACGUCCCAUCCUCUUUUCCCGCGUCCUGACACGCCCUGGGUCGUUUGGUGGGGAAGGCUGCAAAAAGAACGAUGGGACGGAUGCCUGUUCCCUAUCACGCCUCCCGUAACCUGUGUGUUAGGUGGGGAAGCGUCAGGCGCAUUUCAUGUCCCGGCUCGCGUGCGCGCGUCAGGCGGCGGGCGGCGUCCUUGCGCUCGACGCCUCCCGGUUCGUGUGAGCCCGUUUCCGUAUUCGACGACAGCUAGCGCUCGACCCCUGAUCGAUUCGCUCGACGCUAUUUCCGUCUUCGAGGUUGUGGACGUCGAAGGCUGCGUAUGCGCAUGACCAGAGCUUCGAGUCGAGGGCCUCAUCCUGCGUACGGAUAGUCUUGUUACGCGCAUCGUUGAGGGUACCCCUCAUUGAUACCCUCGACAGGAAGUAAGUGGAGUUGAGUGCACGCUUGAGUGUGAUGAUGAGGAGUGUUGCUUGUGGUCUGUCUGUGUUUGUGAUGGGUGCCCUGCCUCCCAUUUUAUAGCCGCAAGGGGUGGCAGGGUUUUUACAUGUGCAAGACUGUGAAUUAUCUCUGGUGUGUGUUGAAGUGACAGUGCAGACCCUAUGGAGAUUGGCCACCUCGUCCUUGGGUUAUGGCUGACGGCGUGGUCAUUCUAGUGGAGGGUCGCCGAGCCCUAUUUGAGUCGUGGAGGUCGGGUCGGAGGCACUGCAGCAUGUCCUGCAAUAGUAAAAUAGUAACAGGCAAAGCAUGGUCACAAUGGUAGGGAUUAAUCUUCCCCAUACCUCACUUUUACAGACAAUACCUCAUAGUGAAAGAAGGAAGGCUCCACAGUGACAGGAGUUGUUGAAAUAGUAGCCGACAUGCCCUGCUGUAGCGUGGGGGCAUGGCGUGCGUCACAUCGAGGGUAUGGCCAUCGUGUGCUGGAAGUCUGGUUCCGAGGCCGAGGCUCAGGUGAGACGCUGAUUGCGCUCGAGGCUUGUGCUUUGGUCAAGACGGGGAUUGCGCCCGAGACGCGGAGCUCGGGCGAGACGGAGUCCGUGCUCGAGGCCUGAGGGGUCGGGCGAGACGGGGUCUGCGCCCGAGGCCAAAGGGGGUCGGCGAGACGGAGUCUACGCCCGAGGCCAGAGGGAUCGGGCAUUCCUCUUACUCUUUUUUGCCGCUUUUUAUCCUCUUAAUUUGGGUAUCCUAUUUUAUGGUACCCAACAACAAGCUAAAUUGUCAUUUUUGAGCAAGAGACAGAGGUAAUAGACUAAGGUCAUGUUUGAAUGAACUAGGACUAGUGAUUAACUGACUAGUGAUUAGCCCAGUUAUGUUGUUUGGAUCCAAGGCUAAUAAGUACGGCCCAUUUGGCAUGGCUCAACUUUAUUAGUGAAGCUGUUUUUUGGGGCUUUAGCUCCAUAAACAGCUCUAUCGGUGGAGCUGAAGCCAUUUUGGUAAAUUGUUUAGCAAAAAAGUUUUUUUUUCUUAAAAUGUGCUCUCACAGAAAGCCGCGUAGGAUGAGGUAAAGCCGAGAGAAACCACUAUUGUUGGCUCCUUCACACCUUAAAGCUCUGCGAGAGCACAUUUUUAGAGUCUUUAUUGGUGGAGUCAUUCAAUUUUACUUUAUUUGGUACAAAAUGGCUUCAAACGGCUCCUGAAGCCACUGAAGAAGCCAUGCCAAACAGGCCAUAGUAGCAGUACAUAAUUAGAGAGACAAGAUGCAUGAGAAAACGAGAGCCCUACCUUGGUCUCAAUUAUCGGCUCCUUUUGUUCUCCUCCGAACAGUUGUUUAUCUCCGGAUUCCGGAACGAGACGACGUAACUGACGCCCCCGAUAGCUGCCGCAGGCGCAUGUGCGCGAGAGCGGAUCAGCGGAGCCGGACUGCCGGACGUCGACGGCUCUGCAUGUGAGGGGCGGGCCACCGCGAGGGACAAGGAGAAGGCAACCGCCGCCGGGCCCGGGCUGUCGAGAGAACCGGUGGUGGAAAGGUCACGUCGGCCGAGGGCUCGAGGCGUCGCACUGGAUUCCCGGGGCCCGCGAGAUCGUCGGCCCUCGCCCUCGCACUCGCACACGCACACGCACCCGGGACCCGUUGUUGGGCCGAGAUGAGGCUUCCAGCGCCUCUCGUAGUCUGACGUCUCGCG
rnacentral:lncRNA from 1 species